CAGGCUUAACACAUGCAAGUCGAGGGGCAUCAGGAAGAAAGCUUGCUUUCUUUGCUGGCGACCGGCGCACGGGUGAGUAACACGUAUCCAACCUGCCCUUUACUCGGGGAUAGCCUUUCGAAAGAAAGAUUAAUACCCGAUAGCAUAAUGAUUCCGCAUGGUUUCAUUAUUAAAGGAUUCCGGUAAAGGAUGGGGAUGCGUUCCAUUAGGUUGUUGGUGAGGUAACGGCCCACCAAGCCUUCGAUGGAUAGGGGUUCUGAGAGGAAGGUCCCCCACAUUGGAACUGAGACACGGUCCAAACUCCUACGGGAGGCAGCAGUGAGGAAUAUUGGUCAAUGGGCGCUAGCCUGAACCAGCCAAGUAGCGUGAAGGAUGAAGGCUCUAUGGGUCGUAAACUUCUUUUAUAUAAGAAUAAAGUGCAGUAUGUAUACUGUUUUGUAUGUAUUAUAUGAAUAAGGAUCGGCUAACUCCGUGCCAGCAGCCGUGGUAAUACGGAGGAUCCGAGCGUUAUCCGGAUUUAUUGGGUUUAAAGGGAGCGUAGGUGGACUGGUAAGUCAGUUGUGAAAGUUUGCGGCUCAACCGUAAAAUUGCAGUUGAUACUGUCAGUCUUGAGUACAGUAGAGGUGGGCGGAAUUCGUGGUGUAGCGGUGAAAUGCUUAGAUAUCACGAAGAACUCCGAUUGCGAAGGCAGCUCACUGGACUGCAACUGACACUGAUGCUCGAAAGUGUGGGUAUCAAACAGGAUUAGAUACCCUGGUAGUCCACACAGUAAACGAUGAAUACUCGCUGUUUGCGAUAUACAGUAAGCGGCCAAGCGAAAGCAUUAAGUAUUCCACCUGGGGAGUACGCCGGCAACGGUGAAACUCAAAGGAAUUGACGGGGGCCCGCACAAGCGGAGGAACAUGUGGUUUAAUUCGAUGAUACGCGAGGAACCUUACCCGGGCUUAAAUUGCAGUGGAAUGAUGUGGAAACAUGUCAGUGAGCAAUCACCGCUGUGAAGGUGCUGCAUGGUUGUCGUCAGCUCGUGCCGUGAGGUGUCGGCUUAAGUGCCAUAACGAGCGCAACCCUUAUCUUUAGUUACUAACAGGUUAUGCUGAGGACUCUAGAGAGACUGCCGUCGUAAGAUGUGAGGAAGGUGGGGAUGACGUCAAAUCAGCACGGCCCUUACGUCCGGGGCUACACACGUGUUACAAUGGGGGGUACAGAAGGCAGCUAGCGGGUGACCGUAUGCUAAUCCCAAAAUCCUCUCUCAGUUCGGAUCGAAGUCUGCAACCCGACUUCGUGAAGCUGGAUUCGCUAGUAAUCGCGCAUCAGCCACGGCGCGGUGAAUACGUUCCCGGGCCUUGUACACACCGCCCGUCAAGCCAUGGGAGCCGGGGGUACCUGAAGUACGUAACCGCAAGGAUCGUCCUAGGGUAAAACUGGUGACUGGGGCUAAGUC
rnacentral:rRNA from 1 species